CCUUCACUUCGCCCUCCAGCUGCUGCAGCUGCAGCCCGACCGCGAGCGUGCCAAGCGGCUUCAGCAGCUAGCGGAGCGGUGGCGGCGGCCCCGCUCAGGAGACCACCAGAUUCCCCUCUUCCCGCGGCCUCGCCAUGGCGACCCACGGACAGACUUGCGCGCGUCCAAUGUGUAUUCCUCCAUCAUAUGCUGACCUUGGCAAAGCUGCCAGAGAUAUUUUCAACAAAGGAUUUGGUUUUGGGUUGGUGAAACUGGAUGUGAAAACAAAGUCUUGCAGUGGCGUGGAAUUUUCAACGUCCGGUUCAUCUAAUACAGACACUGGUAAAGUUACUGGGACCCUGGAGACCAAAUACAAGUGGUGUGAGUAUGGUCUGACUUUCACAGAAAAGUGGAACACUGAUAACACUCUGGGAACAGAAAUCGCAAUUGAAGACCAGAUUUGUCAAGGUUUGAAACUGACAUUUGAUACUACCUUCUCACCAAACACAGGAAAGAAAAGUGGUAAAAUCAAGUCUUACAAGAGGGAGUGUAUAAACCUUGGUUGUGAUGUUGACUUUGAUUUUGCUGGACCUGCAAUCCAUGGUUCAGCUGUCUUUGGUUAUGAGGGCUGGCUUGCUGGCUACCAGAUGACCUUUGACAGUGCCAAAUCAAAGCUGACAAGGAAUAACUUUGCAGUGGGCUACAGGACUGGGGACUUCCAGCUACACACUAAUGUCAAUGAUGGGACAGAAUUUGGAGGAUCAAUUUAUCAGAAAGUUUGUGAAGAUCUUGACACUUCAGUAAACCUUGCUUGGACAUCAGGUACCAACUGCACUCGUUUUGGCAUUGCAGCUAAAUAUCAGUUGGAUCCCACUGCUUCCAUUUCUGCAAAAGUCAACAACUCUAGCUUAAUUGGAGUAGGCUAUACUCAGACUCUGAGGCCUGGUGUGAAGCUUACACUCUCUGCUCUGGUAGACGGGAAGAGCAUUAAUGCUGGAGGCCACAAGGUUGGGCUCGCCCUGGAGUUGGAGGCUUAAUCCAGCUGAAAGAAACCUUUGGGAAUGGAUAUCAGAAGAUUUGGCCUUAAUAUAUUUCCAUUGUGACCAGCAGCAGGCUUUUUUCCCC
rnacentral:lncRNA from 1 species